rnacentral:rRNA from 1 species
AUUGAACGCUGGCGGCAUGCCUUACACAUGCAAGUCGAACGGUAACGGGCUUUCGGGUGCCGACGAGUGGCGAACGGGUGAGUAAUGCAUCGGAACGUACCUUUCAGUGGGGGAUAACGUAGCGAAAGUUACGCCAAUACCGCGUAUUCUGUGCGCAGGAAAGCAGGAGAUCGCAAGACCUUGCGCUGAUUGAGCGGCCGAUGUCAGAUUAGCUAGUUGGUGAGGUAAAGGCUCACCAAGGCGACGAUCUGUAGCGGGUCUGAGAGGAUGAUCCGCCACACUGGAACUGAGACACGGUCCAGACUCCUACGGGAGGCAGCAGUGGGGAAUUUUGGACAAUGGGGGCAACCCUGAUCCAGCCAUGCCGCGUGAGUGAAGAAGGCCUUCGGGUUGUAAAGCUCUUUCGGCCGGGAAGAAAUCGCAUGGGUUAAUACCCUGUGCGGAUGACGGUACCGGCAUAAGAAGCACCGGCUAACUACGUGCCAGCCGCCGCGGUAACAC